rnacentral:tRNA from 10 species
CAGGAGUUAGCUCGCCGAACUUAUAUCCUGGAGGACACAGGUACAAUUCCUACUUA